rnacentral:lncRNA from 1 species
GUGGACAACCCGGAGGGUAGCGCGAAGAUUCAUAGGAGGUUAAGAGAGGUUGAGUCCGUGGAGUCGGUAAUCACCUUGUAAUCUUUUCUCUUAGUGAAUUAUUUUUUCGCGUGUUGGUCCCGUGAGUUUUUCUCCAAGUUGGAGUUUUCCCACGUAAAUCUCGGUGUGCUUUUUAUUUUCCGCAUUUAUUUUUAUUGCAUCGAGAUUUGUGGUUUUUGGCCGUUCACCUAUUCAUCCCCCUCUAGGUGAUAGAUACAAUCUAGAUAGAUCCUU